rnacentral:rRNA from 1 species
ACGGGAGGCAGCAGUGGGGAGUUUUGCGCAAUGGGGGAAACCCUGACGCAGCAACGCCGCGUGCGGGAUGAAGGCCUUCGGGUUGUAAACCGCUUUCAGCAGGGAAGACCGAGGACGGUACCUGCAGAAGAAGCCCCGGCUAACUACGUGCCAGCAGCCGCGGUAACACGUAGGGGGCGAGCGUUAUCCGGAUUCAUUGGGCGUAAAGCGCGCGUAGGCUGCCGCCUAAGCGAGGCCUCUAAUCCCGGGGCUCAACCCCGGGCCGGGCUUCGAACUGGGCGGCUCGAGUAGGGCAGGGGCAGGCGGAAUUCCCGGUGUAGCGGUGAAAUGCGCAGAUAUCGGGAGGAACACCGAUGGCGAAGGCAGCCUGCUGGGCCCGCACUGACGCUGAGGCGCGAAAGCCGGGGGAGCGAACAGGAUUAGAUACCCUGGUA